GAGUAUGGGAGAGGAUGGUAGAAUUCCAGGUGUAGCGGUGAAAUGCGUAGAGAUCUGGAGGAAUACCGAUGGCGAAGGCAGCCAUCUGGCCUAAUACUGACGCUGAGGUACGAAAGCAUGGGGAGCAAACAGGAUUAGAUACCCUGGUAGUCCAUGCCGUAAACGAUGUCUACUAGCCGUUGGGGCCUUUGAGGCUUUAGUGGCGCAGCUAACGCGAUAAGUAGACCGCCUGGGGAGUACGGUCGCAAGACUAAAACUCAAAUGAAUUGACGGGGGCCCGCACAAGCGGUGGAGCAUGUGGUUUAAUUUGAUGCAACGCGAAGAACCUUACCUGGCCUUGACAUACUAAGAACUUUCCAGAGAUGGAUUGGUGCCUUCGGGAACUUAGAUACAGGUGCUGCAUGGCUGUCGUCAGCUCGUGUCGUGAGAUGUUGGGUUAAGUCCCGCAACGAGCGCAACCCUUUUCCUUAUUUGCCAGCGGGUUAUGCCGGGAACUUUAAGGAUACUGCCAGUGACAAACUGGAGGAAGGCGGGGACGACGUCAAGUCAUCAUGGCCCUUACGGCCAGGGCUACACACGUGCUACAAUGGUCGGUACAAAGGGUUGCUACCUCGCGAGAGGAUGCUAAUCUCAAAAA
rnacentral:rRNA from 1 species